rnacentral:tRNA from 1 species
GGCGCGGUGUACCCCGAUUGGGAAGGGGGCUGUUCGAGAGAUCGAAGACCUGACGCUGGUUCGAGUCCAGCCCCGCGCCA